rnacentral:sRNA from 1 species
UCUUAGCCCCGAUUGCAGUGGAAAUCCUUAUAAGCCGGGGUUCGGCUUAUAAGAUUACUUCACUAUACUUUUAUUUUCAUAGGAGCUCAGUGAACUUCGUUUGUAACGGAAAGCGGGACUAAUG